rnacentral:lncRNA from 1 species
GCGGCUGGUCUAGGCCUAGAGAGUUAUAAGAAAAUCGGAGAUUAAUCAGGGAUUACUUUUGAGUAUUUUUUCGAUUUUUUUGAUAGUUUAUGUAUAAUAAAGAAUGAUUUACAAAGAAAGUAAGGAAAGUUGACGUGGUGUAGUGGUUUUGUUGCUUCUUUAACAUUCAGGAGAUCCGGAGUUUGAUAUCCCUGGUGCGUUUUAUUUUUAUUUUUGUUUUUAACUCAUUAAUGGCAUAAUCAUAAACAUCUCUUCAUCUUCUUUGUUGUAUCUUCCCUAAAUUGCAGCCGUUUUCUCAUCUUCUCCAACACAAAUCAACUUUUUUUAACGAUUUCCUAUGAUUUAACGACACUUCUUUGUUCCUAGCACUGUAUUAUGAUGGAUUCGUGAAGAAAUAAUCAUUUUUGAACUUGAAAAUGGCAUAAUAUGAGGUGUGUUUUUUUAGGCGAGUUUUUGGCCGAACAGAGCUGAAUCGCGGCGGAGCUCCGAUGCCGAGCGCUGCACCGGCGUGUAAUCG